AAUCAACGCUGGCGGCGUGCCUCAGACAUGCAAGUCGAACGCGAAAGUUUCCUUCGGGAGACAAGUAGAGUGGCGCACGGGUGAGUAACACGUAGGUAAUCUACCUUUGGAUGGGGAAUAACAACCGGAAACGGUUGCUAAUACCGCAUAAUGCAGCGGCACCUAAUGGUGACAGUUGUUAAAGCGGGGGAUCGAAAGACCUCGCGUCUGAAGAGGAGCCUGCGGCGGAUUAGCAGUUGGUAAGGUAAUGGCUUACCAAGGCUACGAUCCGUAACCGGCCUGAGAGGGGCGGUCGGUCACACUGACACUGACAUACGGGU
rnacentral:rRNA from 1 species